CCUCCCCCUGCUGCACGGAGAGAGGGGGGGCUUCUUAAAGGGGAACGCACACCAAAAAUGACCUGACGCACGCCACAACUUUUUCAACUCCUCUAUCCCCUUUAGUUGUAAUCUUUCUCCAGAAAGGAGAACUUUAAAAGAUGAGAACCCUACAGAUUGUCGGACGAACAGUGUGUGGAUGUUUAUCCAGAACAAGAAAACGAGCGAGAACGUCUGAGCCCGGUGGUGUCCGUCCGAGAAAAUGACUCGAUCAACCUGAGCAAACAAGCCUAGUAUUUUGGUCGGCAGAUAUACUGGUGGUAGACGCAUAAACCAGGCCUAAACAAAGGAAUUUUUGAUUUAGAAGUUCUGGAAAUGUAAACCUACUAAAACUUAGAGGGAUAAUAUCAUUAGAUCCGACACACAAAAUCAGUUUGUGCGUUUUUUUCCAAUAUAUCGUUCUUCACAAGUUUCCCCCAAAUUCUUUCACACUUCUUCCAUUUUCUCAUUUGUGGAUUUUCUUAGCAUUUCAUACAAUACCAUUUUCUUUAGCUUUUUAAAGUUUGUUUAAUUUUGCAUUGAAAAAACUAGCUGAGCCAAAUUAGCAAACAAACUAUACAUUUAGAAUCAGAUUCAAUAAAAGAAGGUUCUUUCAAGCCUAUUUGAUUGGAUUAGACUGAAACAACUCAGCAAAACAUUCUGUAUAUGGGUUUUGGAACAGCAUUUCUUCUUCUACACCUGAGCUGCUAAUCAGAUGUAACAGACCAAAAAGAACACAUAUUUAGUGUCACAGAAAUGCUAUGUAUUUUGGAGAUUGGGGCCGACCAAUAAAAAAAAAUGCUUGAUCUGA